GUGCACCAGGCGCGAAUACUCCGCAAUGCGCGAAAGCGUGACGGGGGAACCCCAAGUGCCGUUGGUCUAUUGAUCGACGGCUUUUCGGGAGUUUAGGGAGCUCCCGGAAUAAGGGCUGGGUAAGUCGGGUGCCAGCCGCCGCGGUAAUACCCGCAGCCCAAAUGGUGGUCCGCGAUUAUUGGGCCUAAAGCGCUCGUAGCCGGGUCGGCAAGUCCCUUGUGGAAAAUCGGGCGGCUUAACCGUUCGGCUUGCAAGGAUACUGCUGGCCUUGAGGCCGGGAGACGCCGAGGGUACUCCGGGGGUAGCGGUGAAAUGUUCUAAUCCUCGGGGGACCACCAGUGGCGAAGGCGCUCGGCGAGAACGGACCUGACGGUGAGGGGCGAAGGCUAGGGGGAGCGAACGGG
rnacentral:rRNA from 1 species